rnacentral:lncRNA from 1 species
AAAAAAACUGGAAGACGAUUGUCAACAAGCAAUUAUUUGGAUAUCAACAAGCAAUGAAACAAUUCUGAAGAUGUACAUGGGAUACUCAGAGGUACACACAUGCUGCAUAGAAAUAUAAGUUUGAUGAAAGAAUUUACAAGAUGAG